CCUUGUUGGCAAGGCUGAUCUGGAACUCCUGACCUUAGGUGAUCUACCCACCUGAGCCUCCCAAAGUGCUGGGAUUACAGGCAUGAGCCACCAUGCCUGGCAUGCUAUCUGUAUAUUUUCUUUGGCUGGGUGUCUGUUCAGAGGUUUACCCAGUUUUAAUUAGGUUUUUAGUUUUUUUUAGCGUUCCUAUGAAGAGUUCUUUGUUUAUUUUCAAUACAGUUUUUAAAAUCACAUAUGCAUUUUGUAAAUAUCUUCUCACAAUCUGUCUUGUCUUUUUGUUCUCUGAAUAGGAUUUUUCACAGUAUAAAAUUGAGUUUUAUAAAGUCUGUUAUGAAUAUUUACAUGAAUUGUCGUUUGAUGUUGUGUGUUAAAACUCAACACCAAAUUCAAUGUUACAUAGAUUUUGUUUUAGAUUUUUUAUAGUUUUGCAUUUCCAAUUAUAGUCUGGACAAUUUUGAGUAGGUUUUUGUGUUUUAAUUUGUGUGUACAUUCAUUUCAUUCUAAAUGGCUUCCAGAUAAUUCUUCCAUUACUAUAUUUGGGAAAGCUAUGGAUAUAGUGGACUUUGUUUUGAAUUUCCAAAAUGAUGACAUUGAAUAAACUGGAUUUCCAAAAUGAUGACAUUGAAUAAACUGGAUAUUGAAUUUUAUAGGUAUUUAAGGACAAACAGGAGGGGGUGUGUGUCUGCUGAGAAACCGUGAGCAAGAGCGCCUGUGCUGAGCCGUGGCACCACCAGAGUGUCCACAAACCCACCCCCAACUAACUUCCCUCUGAGGUUCCAGAAGCCGCAAGGAGCUUUAUCACCCUCAGGGCAGCACGAGGGUCGUGUCAACUUGGUGGUGGUCACUGUAGCAGGCUUUGCUGCCUUCCACCCACUGAGUCCUUCAGCCGUGGGUCAGUCAGACCGACUCCCAGUGCUUGUCCCUUGUCCCAAUGCUGCCCAACUGAACCGAGACUCACUGGAUGCUACUUCUCCACCCAAGAGCACCACCACAGCAGCCGGAGACAUACUUGUGGAUGUCUGCCUGAUGGCCCUUGGGUGCCAUGGCACCCUGAGAGGGCCCCAGCAUGGAUGCUAACUGUUUUCCACCUGCCUGGGUCCCUGCCUUGUCCAGGGACCCCCCUGAAGGGGUUUGUCUUUGAAGUCAUGGAACUCAUUCACAGCCUGAAGGCACUUCAGCUGGGAAGAGCCGGCCAUCCUGCUCCAGAUGUUUUGAUCCAGCUGAUCCCAAACAGCGCCAGAACAGCGAAUCUUCCCUCAGCCUCUUCCCCUGAGACCUUGGGCCAAGCACUCAGUGUAAUUCGUGCCUGGACUGACCUGCGACUGCUUAUCCCAGUGGUCAUCCCAAGCCUGGGCAACAGAGUGAAACUCCAUCUCAAAAAAAAGAAAAAGAAGAGAAAGUUGGCAGGAACAGAGACAGAAGUAAAGGGCAGAGAAUGUUCAGAGAAACGGUGUCCACCACAAACGGCUCACUAGUGACCAAGCACCCUAUUACCAGCACCCAGCUCACGGCCCGGCUGCACCAGGAAUCCCGUUUGCCGGUAUUCACCCAAGCAGCACGCCCUGUAAAACCUCCCCCUGGCCCCUGCCACUUGGCAGAAAGGUCUUCCUCUUCUGUGUUGCCCGCCGCUCCCUUGCAACGUAUAUCCCCUUUUUCUCUAAUAAAUCUGCCUUUCUGAACUCA